rnacentral:rRNA from 1 species
GACGAACGCUGGCGGCGUGCUUAACACAUGCAAGUCGGACGGAAAGGCCCUGCUUUUGUGGGGUGCUCGAGUGGCGAACGGGUGAGUAACACGUGAGUAACCUGCCCUUGACUUUGGGAUAACUUCAGGAAACUGGGGCUAAUACCGGAUAGGAGCUCCUGCUGCAUGGUGGGGGUUGGAAAGUUUCGGCGGUUGGGGAUGGACUCGCGGCUUAUCAGCUUGUUGGUGGGGUAGUGGCUUACCAAGGCUUUGACGGGUAGCCGGCCUGAGAGGGUGACCGGUCACAUUGGGACUGAGAUACGGCCCAGACUCCUACGGGAGGCAGCAGUGGGGAAUAUUGCACAAUGGGCGGAAGCCUGAUGCAGCAACGCCGCGUGCGGGAUGACGGCCUUCGGGUUGUAAACCGCUUUCGCCUGUGACGAAGCGUGAGUGACGGUAAUGGGUAAAGAAGCACCGGCUAACUACGUG